rnacentral:rRNA from 2 species
GGUCAAGCGAAUAAGCGCACACGGUGGAUGCCUUGGCGGUCAGAGGCGAUGAAGGACGUGGCAGCCUGCGAAAAGUAUCGGGGAGCUGGCAACAAGCUUUGAUCCGGUAAUGUCCGAAUGGGGAAACCCACCCGCUUGCGGGUAUCCUGCAGUGAAUACAUAGCUGCUGGAAGCGAACCUGGUGAACUGAAAUAUCUAAGUAACCAGAGGAAAAGAAAUCAACCGAGAUUCCGUAAGUAGCGACGAGCGAACGCGGACUAGCCCUUAAGCUGAUUUGGUUCUAGGAAAACGCUCUGGAAAGAGCGGCCAUAGAAGGUGAUAGCCCUGUAUCUGAAAGGGCCAUUUCAGUGAAGACGAGUAGGGCGGGGCACGUGAAACCCUGUCUGAACAUGGGGGGACCAUCCUCCAAGGCUAAAUACUACUGACCGACCGAUAGUGAACCAGUACCGUGAGGGAAAGGCGAAAAGAACCCCGGAGAGGGGAGUGAAAUAGAACCUGAAACCGUGUGCGUACAAGCAGUAGGAGCUCCGCAAGGAGUGACUGCGUACCUUUUGUAUAAUGGGUCAGCGACUUACUGUUCGUGGCAAGCUUAACCGUAUAGGGGAGGCGAAGGGAAACCGAGUCUGAUAAGGGCGCAUAGUCGCGGGCAGUAGACCCGAAACCGGGUGAUCUAGUCAUGCCCAGGGUGAAGGUGCGGUAACACGCACUGGAGGCCCGAACCCACUCCCGUUGCAAAGGUAGGGGAUGAGGUGUGAUUAGGAGUGAAAAGCUAAUCGAACCCGGAGAUAGCUGGUUCUCCUCGAAAGCUAUUUAGGUAGCGCCUCAUAUGUAUCCUCUCGGGGGUAGAGCACUGUUAUGGCUAGGGGGUCAUCGCGACUUACCAAACCAUUGCAAACUCCGAAUACCGAGACGGACUGUAUGGGAGACACACGGCGGGUGCUAACGUCCGUCGUGAAAAGGGAAACAACCCAGACCCACAGCUAAGGUCCCAAAUUUUGUGCUAAGUGGAAAACCAUGUGGAAAGGCACAGACAGCCAGGAGGUUGGCUUAGAAGCAGCCACCCUUUAAAGAAAGCGUAAUAGCUCACUGGUCGAGUCGGUCUGCGGGGAAGAUUUAACGGGGCUAAGCACAGAACCGAAGCUUGGGGUGCAUAACUUUGUUAUGCGCGGUAGAGGAGCGUUCCGUAAGCCGUUGAAGGUGGAUUGAGAAGUCUGCUGGAGGUAUCGGAAGUGCGAAUGCUGACAUGAGUAACGAUAAUGCGGGUGAAAAACCCGCACGCCGAAAGCCCAAGGUUUCCUUGCGCAACGUUAAUCGGCGCAGGGUGAGUCGGCCCCUAAGGCGAGGACGAAAGUCGUAGUCGAUGGGAAGCAGGUUAAUAUUCCUGCACCUCGCGUAAGUGCGAUGGAGGGACGGAGAAGGUUAGGUGUACCAGGCGUUGGUUGUCCUGGGGAAAGGCGGUAGGUUUGGAUCUUUGGCAAAUCCGGGAUCCUUUAAGACCGAGCACCGAGACGAGCCUUUAUGGCGAAGUCACUGAUACCACGCUUCCAGGAAAAGCUCCUAAGCUUCAGCUUACGCAGACCGUACCGUAAACCGACACAGGUGGGUAGGAUGAGAAUUCUCAGGCGCUUGAGAGAACUCGGGUGAAGGAACUAGGCAACAUGGCACCGUAACUUCGGGAGAAGGUGCACCCUUUUUGGUGGCUCGUGCGAGCUAUAGCUGAAGAGGGUCGCAGUAACCAGGCCGCUGCGACUGUUUAUCAAAAACACAGCACUCUGCAAACACGAAAGUGGACGUAUAGGGUGUGACGCCUGCCCGGUGCUGGAAGGUUAAUUGAUGGGGUCAGCCGCAAGGCGAAGCUCUUGAUCGAAGCCCCAGUAAACGGCGGCCGUAACUAUAACGGUCCUAAGGUAGCGAAAUUCCUUGUCGGGUAAGUUCCGACCUGCACGAAUGGCGUAACGACAGCGGCGCUGUCUCCACCCGAGACUCAGUGAAAUUGAAAUCGCUGUGAAGAUGCAGCGUUCCCGUGGCAAGACGGAAAGACCCCGUGAACCUUUACUAUAGCUUUACACUGAACGUUGAGUUCGUCUGUGUAGGAUAGGUGGGAGGCUAUGAAACUGUGGCGCUAGCUGCAGUGGAGCCAUCCUUGAAAUACCACCCUGUCGUGCUUGACGUUCUAACCUGGGCCCAUUAUCUGGGUCGGGGACCGUGUAUGGUGGGUAGUUUGACUGGGGCGGUCUCCUCCUAAAGAGUAACGGAGGAGCUCGAAGGUACGCUCAGCGCGGUCGGACAUCGCGCACUGUGUGCAAAGGCAUAAGCGUGCUUGACUGCAAGAUCGACGGAUCAAGCAGGUAGGAAACUAGGACUUAGUGAUCCGGUGGUUCUGUAUGGAAGGGCCAUCGCUCAACGGAUAAAAGGUACUCCGGGGAUAACAGGCUGAUACCGCCCAAGAGUUCAUAUCGACGGCGGUGUUUGGCACCUCGAUGUCGGCUCAUCACAUCCUGGGGCUGUAGUCGGUCCCAAGGGUAUGGCUGUUCGCCAUUUAAAGUGGUACGCGAGCUGGGUUCAGAACGUCGUGAGACAGUUCGGUCCCUAUCUGCCAUGGGCGUUGGAGAUUUGAGAGGGGCUGCUCCUAGUACGAGAGGACCGGAGUGGACGAACCUCUGGUGUUCCGGUUGUCACGCCAGUGGCAUUGCCGGGUAGCUAUGUUCGGAAGCGAUAACCGCUGAAAGCAUCUAAGCGGGAAGCGCGCCUCAAGAUGAGAUCUCCCGGGGCACAAGCCCCCUGAAGGAACCAUGUAGACUACGUGGUUGAUAGGUCAGGUGUGUAAGUACAGCAAUGUAUUGAGCUAACUGAUACUAAUGAUCCGUGCGGCUUGACCAU